AAGUGUAAACCUACUAACAGAAGAUCACGUUAGAGUGUAAUGUCUUUAACUUAAAUUUUUAGCCUUUCUUUGUCAAUUUGGAGGUUCAUAUAGAAGAUACUUCAGUAGCAUCAACAUUUGCUGCAACUCAAGCACAUGAGUAUCGUGUUAGGUCCGUCCAUAUCCCUGGUGGAUAAUCGUCGUAAUCAGCAUUGUUGCGAGUUUUCAGGGUGAGCACGAGACGUUCGCUGCCUUGAAGACUCUUCCUAUUUUAUGUCUUACUAUCGCUAUUCUGAGACAUAGACAGAUUUAUGUAAUAUUAUUCCAGACUUGUAUAUUUUUCUUUAGAUGCUUUUGUAUGGCUUAGAACAGACUCUGGGGCUAAUUGUCCUUAUUCUGCACUAUUCUAUUAUAUAUCAUCGUGAGACUUACGUAA